UACGAAGGGGGCUAGCGUUGCUCGGAAUCACUGGGCGUAAAGGGUGCGUAGGCGGGUUUUUAAGUCAGGGGUGAAAUCCUGGAGCUCAACUCCAGAACUGCCUUUGAUACUGAAGAUCUUGAGUCCGGGAGAGGGUGAGUGGACUGCGAAGUGUAGAGGUGAAAUUCGUAGAUAUUCGCAAGAACACCAGUGGCGAAGGCGGCUCACUGGCCCGGUACUGACGCUGAGGCACGAAAGCGUGGGGGAGCAAACAGG
rnacentral:rRNA from 1 species